AGAGUUUGAUCCUGGCUUAGGAUGAACGCUAGCGAUAGGCCUAACACAUGCAAGUCGAGGGGCAUCACAUGAGGUAGCAAUACUGAUGGUGGCGACCGGCGCACGGGUGAGUAACACGUAUGCAACCUGCCUUCAACAAGGGCAUAACCCGUUGAAAGACGGACUAAUUCCCUAUGACACAGGGGUCCCGCAUGGGGAUAUUUGUUAAAGAUUAAUCGGUUGGAGAUGGGCAUGCGUUCCAUUAGCUUGUUGGCGGGUAACGGCCCACCAAGGCAACGAUGGAUAGGGGAACUGAGAGGUUUAUCCCCCACACUGGUACUGAGACACGGACCAGACUCCUACGGGAGGCAGCAGUGAGGAAUAUUGGUCAAUGGGCGCAAGCCUGAACCAGCCACGUCGCCGUGAAGGAAGACGGCCCUACGGGUUGUAAACUUCUUUUGCAAGGGAAUAAAGUUGGCCACGCGUGGCCUUUUGCAUGUACCUUGCGAAUAAGGAUCGGCUAACUCCGUGCCAGCCGCUGC
rnacentral:rRNA from 1 species